rnacentral:rRNA from 1 species
CAAGGCGACGAUGCGUAGCCGACCUGAGAGGGUGAUCGGCCACACUGGGACUGAGACACGGCCCAGACUCCUACGGAGGCAGCAGUAGGGAAUCUUCCGCAAUGGACGAAAGUCUGACGGAGCAACGCCGCGUGAGUGAUGAAGGUUUUCGGAUCGUAAAGCUCUGUUGUUAGGGAAGAACAAGUGCGAGAGUAACUGCUCGCACCUUGACGGUACCUAACCAGGAAGGCCAGGCUAACUACGUGCCAGCAGCCGGGGAAACGUAGGGGGCAGCGUUUUCCGAAUUAUUGGGGGAAAGGCUCGAGGGGGUUCCUUAGUCUAUGGAAACCCCCGCUCACCGGGGAGGCCUUGGAAGGGAGGGUCAUUGGAAACAGGGAAACUUGAGUGCAGAAGAGGAGAGUGGAAUUCCACGUGUAGCGGUGAAAUGCGUAGAGAUGUGGAGGAAUACCAGUGGCGAAGGCGACUCUCUGGUCUGUAACUGACGCUGAGGAGCGAAAGCGUGGGGAGCGAACAGGAUUAGAUACCCUGGUAGUCCACGCCGUAAACGAUGAGUGCUAAGUGUUAGGGGGUUUCCGCCCCUUAGUGCUGCAGCUAACGCAUUAAGCACUCCGCCUGGGGAGUACGGUCGCAAGACUGAAACUCAAAGGAAUUGACGGGGGCCCGCACAAGCGGUGGAGCAUGUGGUUUAAUUCGAAGCAACGCGAAGAACCUUACCAGGUCUUGACAUCCUCUGACAACCCUAGAGAUAGGGCUUUCCCUUCGGGGACAGAGUGACAGGUGGUGCAUGGUUGUCGUCAGCUCGUGUCGUGAGAUGUUGGGUUAAGUCCCGCAACGAGCGCAACCCUUGAUCUUAGUUGCCAGCAUUCAGUUGGGCACUCUAAGGUGACUGCCGGUGACAAACCGGAGGAAGGUGGGGAUGACGUCAAAUCAUCAUGCCCCUUAUGACCUGGGCUACACACGUGCUACAAUGGACAGAACAAAGGGCAGCAAGACCGCAAGGUUUAGCCAAUCCCAUAAAUCUGUUCUCAGUUCGGAUCGCAGUCUGCAACUCGACUGCGUGAAGCUGGAAUCGCUAGUAAUCGCGGAUCAGCAUGCCGCGGUGAAUACGUUCCCGGGCCUUGUACACACCGCCCGUCACACCACGAGAGUUUGCAACACCCGAAGUCGGUGAGGUAACCUUUAUGAGCCAGCCGCCGAAGGUGACAAGAGU